rnacentral:lncRNA from 1 species
GAUAGAUACCACCUAAACUACAUUAUGAUACCACCUAAACUACAUUAUGAAACAGGAGUAUCAGUACUGAGUCAAUGUACAGUGGUACCAGGUAGUUGAGGUAAUAAUGAGGCUAUAAGUAGUACCAGUACUGAGUCAAUGUGCAGGGGUACCAGGUAGUUGAGGUAAUAAUGAGACUAUAAGGAGUACCAGUACUGAGUCAAUGUGCAGGGGUACCAGGUAGUUGAGGUAAUACAGUAUGUACGUGUGGGUAGGGGUACCAGGUAGUUGUAGGUAGGGGUACCAGGUAGUUGUAGGUAAUAUAAUGUAGGUAGGGGUACCAGGUAGUAGAGGCAAUAUAAUGUAGGUAGGGGUACGAGGUAGUUGUAGGUAAUAUAAUGUAGGUAGGGGUACCAGGUAGUAGAGGUAAUAUAAUGUAGGUAGGGGUACCAGGUAGUUGGGGUAAUAUAAUGUAGGUAGGGAUACCAGGUAGUUGUAGGUAAUAUAAUGUAGGUAGGGGUACCAGGUAGUAGAGGUAAUAUAAUGUAGGUAGGGCUACCAGGUAGUUGAGGUAAUAUAAUGUAGGUAGGGGUACCAGGUAGUAGAGGUAAUAUAAUGUAGGUAGGUGUACCAGGUAGUUGUAGGUAAUAUAAUGUAGGUAGGGGUAUCAGGUAGUAGAGGUAAUAUAAUGUAGGUAGGGGUACCAGGUAGUUGUAGGUAAUAUAAUGUAGGUAGGGGUACCAGGUAGUUGUAGGGGUACCAGGUAGUUGUAGGUAAUAUAAUAUAGGUAGGGGUACCAGGUAAUUGAGGUAAUAUAAUGUAGGUAGGGGUACCAGGUAGUAGAGGUAAUAUAAUGUAGGUAGGGGUACCAGGUAGUUGUAGGUAGGGGUACCAGGUAGUUGAGGUAAUAUAAUGUAGGUAGGGGUACCAGGUAGUUGUAGGUAAUAUAAUGUAGGUAGGGGUAUCAGGUAGUAGAGGUAAUAUAAUGUAGGUAGGGGUACCAGGUAGUUGUAGGUAAUAUAAUGUAGGUAGGGG